UUGGAGAAGAAGGAAAGAGCCACAAUCUCUCUCCUCUCCUGUUCCAGUGCUCCGUUUGCUCACCCUGACCGUGGCACCCCCAUUAGCCGUCUGUGUGUUCCAGAGAGGCCAGCCCUGCAUGUGCUGUCCGUGAGCGUGCUUGGACCUAGGCAUAGGACCCAGCUGAGUGGGACAUUUACACGACUGCUGGGAUCGAGGGCAGAACAGGGGGAAACUGUGUUCUGGCUGAGGCACAGCACCCCUGGAGCACCCAGAACCUGAAGAACACCGGGAUGCCGCAGGCAAAGAAGAAGAUGAAGUAGGGGAUGAAGAAGGCUCCUGCAGAAGAGAGAGAGGCAGGGCUGAGCCACACCCGGGCUCUUCCUCAGCCUCCAUCCUUUCAGACCCUCCUCUCCCAACAAACCCGCCCUCCACCAUCCUGUUCUUAAUCUCCCUGCUGACACUUCCCAAGGGCCCAAUCGGCCUCCUCCUGUCUGCAAGCCGUCCUGAGUGUUAGGCAGCUACAGGUGGGAAUGUUCUGAUCUGAACCCUACACAGAAUGAGAAAGGCCUUGGAAGGGAAAUUAAUGAAAACUUAGGUGGAAAUUCUAAUAUAUGCACGAUUUAUUUUCUUAGUGUGCUUUACAAAUCUAGUCAACAGAUUAUUUUUGGAAUAAACACAUGGCUUCUGUAUAACUUGAUAUGCUUAUUAAACUUUUGGUACAUUUUAGAG